rnacentral:misc_RNA from 1 species
CUGAAUUCCAAAUAGCUCUUGUUCUGGCAUACAAAAUCUGGUUCGAGUGUCGAGAAUUAGAGUCUUUGGCAAUGGAUUUGGAGAUGCUGUUGAGGCGAUUGCAUGGUAGUGAACAACAGAAGAAUUGUAGAGAUUCCAUGGAUUGAAACUUGGAAGCCAAUACCCUUUGAUUGGUUUGUGAAGAAGAUAAUUGAAGGAGGAGCUCCAAUGUUGUUGGAAUGGG